rnacentral:rRNA from 1 species
CAAGUCGAGUGCGCGUGCCGUAGCAAUACGGUAUGGCGCACGGCGCACGGGUGCGUAACACGUGGGCAAUCUGCCCUUCGAUGGGGAAUAACUCCGGGAAACCGAAGCUAAUUCCGCAUAACAUUCCUUGGACUUCGGUUCGAGGACUCAAAGCCGUAAGGCGUCGAAGGAGGAGCCCGCGCCCGAUUAGCUAGUUGGUAGGGUAACGGCCUACCAAGGCUUUGAUCGGUAGCUGGUCUGAGAGGAUGGCCAGCCACACUGGAACUGAGACACGGUCCAGACUCCUACGGGAGGCAGCAGUGGGGAAUCUUGCGCAAUGGGCGAAAGCCUGACGCAGCGACGCCGCGUGGGGGAUGAAGCAUCUCGGUGUGUAAACCCCUUUCGACUGGGACGAAUGCCUCGCAAGAGGAGUGACGGUACCAGUAGAAGAAGCCCCGGCUAACUACGUGCCAGCAGCCGCGGUAAGACGUAGGGGGCCAGCGUUGUUCGGAAUUACUGGGUGUAAAGGGUUCGUAGGCGGUGCAGCAAGUUGGGAGUGAAAUCUCUGGGCUUAACCCAGAGGCUGCUUCCAAAACUGCUGUGCUUGAGUGUGGGAGAGGCGCGUGGAAUUGCAGGUGUAGCGGUGAAAUGCGUAGAUAUCUGCAGGAACACCCGUGGCGAAAGCGGCGCGCUGGACCACUACUGACGCUGAGGAACGAAAGCUAGGGGAGCAAACAGGAUUAGAUACCCUGGUAGUCCUAGCCCUAAACGAUCAGGACUUGGGGUGCCACCCGUUCGGGUGUCGUCCCGGAGCUAACGCGUUAAGUCCUGCACCUGGGGAGUACGGUCGCAAGACUGAAACUCAAAGGAAUUGACGGGGGCCGCACAAGCGGUGGAACAUGUGGU